GUGGGUGUAGCACAGUGGUAGUGGCAUCAGAUUGCAACGCAACAGGUUGGAAAAUCUGCCGGUCCCCAGUUCGACCCUGGGCACUCACU
rnacentral:tRNA from 1 species